GUAGGUGAACCUGCGGAAGGAUCAUUAACACGUAUCCAACGUAUACACCCCUGUGGUCCUGUGCGCGUCUAUACACGAAGUGAUAGAAACUACUUUUCAACCUGCGAGGUUGCAAAUGAAGGUUUCGUAAAGCACCUUGGUAUCCUGCGUGGCUACCGGUGUUGUAUGACAUCAUGUGACUAUCAGCACUCUUCGGAGCGCAGCUUCGUGUAGCAGACGUUUUAACCAACCAUUUAACCCAAACUGCUCUAAUCUAGAAAUAAGUAUGGUGUGCCCUGCUUUAUUUCGACUUACGAAAUGUUACAACUCUUAACAACGGAUAUCUUGGUUCUC
rnacentral:misc_RNA from 1 species